UAAAAAAUUUUGGCGGUAUUUUAAGCUUAUUAGAGGAAUUUGCUCUGUGAUGGACACAACGCCUUAAUCUUACUUAAUUUAGUAAUUUAAAUCAGUUUGUAUACCACUAUAUUAAUUAUAUUGAAUAGUUAUAUUUAAAAUUUUUUUAAAAAAAUAUAUUAAGUCAAGGUGCAUCUAAUAAUUAUGAAUGAAGUGAAUUACAUUAAUUUUAAUGUAAUUUUUUUUCAUGAAAAAAUUAAUUAGGAUUUAAUAGUAAAAUACUAAUAUUAUGAGUAUUUGAAUCAAGCUCUAAAAUAUGCACAUAUCGCCCGUCGCUCUCAGAAGUGAGAUAAGUCGUAACAAAGUAAAAAUACUGGAAAGUGUUUUUUAAAAUGAAAUCCUUUGAUGUUUCAUUUACAAUGAAAAUUUUGUUGUUUAACCAUUUUAA
rnacentral:rRNA from 1 species